UCGCUCGUCGCUCUCGUCGCCCUCUCUCCUCCCCUUCGCCUCUCUUCUGCCACCACCUCGCCGGUCACCACCUCGCCCACCUCGCCGGCCACCACCACGACGGCCAGGAGGCCACCAUCUCUCCCCAUCGCCGCCAUCUUUCUUCAGCCUCCACUCACACCCGUCGUCCACUCGCACCCCGCUCCACUCACACCCCGCAUUCGAGGUCAAAGUUUAGAUUUUUCUCCGGCGGCGAGCUUCUUGGCGACGGAGGCGCUGGAUCCGCGUGCGCCUGCUCUGGAUCUGGCGAGGGAGGCGAUGGAUGCGACGUCUGGAGUACACAUGGGCGGCGGCCUGCUCCCCGCCGUGGCAUGGAGGGCGAGGGGCGGCGUGGCGCCGAGGGCGAGCCUGGUGGCAGCGCGGACGUCGACCGAGGAGGCGGUGUACGAGCUGCGGCAGGCAGCGCUGGUGGAGGACCUGUAGGGGUGGCGGGCUCGAGAGGCCGAGGCGGGCAGGCGCCGCGAGUGGCGGGACGAGCAGCUGGAGCAGGAGGGCAACGCCGAGCUCGGCUGGGGCCUCCUGUGCGAUGCCUACGACAGCUGCGGCGAGGUCUGCGCCGAGUACGCCACCUUCUACCUCGUUAGUUUCUGUAAUUUGAGGCGAGGAGUACCUGCCUGGAGUGCUGUGUGUGGCGAGGACCAGGCGGGGGCGCAACAAGGAUCAGGCUGGGCAGCGGGGCAAGGACCAAGUUAGGGCGGCGGCGAUCAGACUGGGGCGAAGGAGGAGGUUGGGCCUGCUGCUGGCGACAGGGAUGAGCAGCUGGACGACAGGGGGAGCCUGGCGGAGGGUCUUGGCUGGUGGAGGGUGGUGGAGGAGGAGGAGGGGCCUGCUGCUGGCGACGGGGACUGCUGCUGGAGGGCGGCGAAGGAGGAGGGGCCUGCUGCUGGCGACAGGGAGGAGCCUGGCAGAGGCUCCUACUGGUGGAGGGCGGAGGAUGAGGAGGAGGAAGGGCCUGUUGCUGGAGGAGGUGGAGGGCGGAGGAAGAGGAGGCGAGUGCUGGUCUGGAGGAAGACAACGAGGAAGACGAUCUGUUUUCAAGUUGGAAGUAGUUUGGUAUUUUCCCUCGUUUUCACCUGGUCGGAAAAACCUCCCCAACGACAAUUAUUUCGGAACGGAGGGAGUAGUGUACAUGUCUUGUUUUUUCAGAUUUUUUUUGAAAUUCUAAAUUUUGAUUUUUUUUUAAAAUUUGGGGCUACAUGGAGUUCAAGCUCCAUUAACUAGCUCCCACCACUAGAUUUCUAUGCACAAGUGUGCUUGUACAUCGCCUCAAUUAUGAUAGCCAUCUGAUUAAAGUUGUGUGACAUGAUCAAGUCAUGAAUGUAGACAUAACUGUUACUUUUCUUCAUUAACUUAUCCACGAAAACCAUGCCA